AAUUAGCCGGCUUUAACGAACGCUGGAGCUGCUAAAAUCUGCCCUGAAGCCUCUAAACGAGCUGACUCAGCGUUCAGCUCCUCCAGGAGGAGGUCAGAGUGAAAUGAGAGUAAAUGUCCUCCAGCGGCCGUCUGAGGCGCACCGACCACUUCAGGUUCAUCAUCAUUAACGCUCCCGCUGACAGAGGCUAACAGCUGGUGUCACAUCCUGUAAGGACGGAGGGCUGGAGACACCAGGAUGGGCUGUCAGCCCGUUUAAAGGAACCCCCCCCCCCCCCUCCCUGAAGGGUCCAGAGGCGCUGGUUAGAAACCCAUCUGGGCUCUGCAGGAACUUCAGCUCUAAACUCAGCUCAGCUUCAACGCUUCACUUUUCUCAAGAUGUUUGCUAAAGACAGGAAACCUGCUAGAAAAGGGUUUAUAAAUAAAAAUGUUGAACGUUUUCAGGUCUGACA